AUGGUGAGGAGGUGGGGCUCAUUGGGCAAAUGGAGAUGACGACAUUCCCGGCAGAGAGAAAAGGACAAAUACAAAGUUCCCAGGUUUUGAUCCGGUACGCUGCUCUCAGGCAACCAAAAAGUAGAGCGUUUUGGUGUUUGUGCACAGAAGAGGCUCAAGAUAAAACGAGUCUAGGUACUGAUGAGACCUCUUUAUUAUUACACUGGCAACUGACUGCACUGCGGAUAUGUUUGGAAUAAGGGAUAAAUGGAUCAACUGGGCAGAGAGUUGGAAGAAGGUGUUUUAGCUCUGCUUCUCAAUCUCCCAGUGUGAUCGCCGGGACACUUCACCGUAAGUUGCAUUUAUUAUAGGGCAGUUUUGUCACUUAAAAAAAUAUUUUUAAUUGGAAACAGCAAGCUGGUUAUAUAAUUGUAAUUGCAGGAUUAUAAUGAAAAUAUCAGGCCUGCAGGUUUUACAUAAUCACAUGCAAAGUCAUGUGCGAGAGUGGAAAAAGGGAAGAACAGAGAUAUGUCUGAUUAUUUACUCUCUGUGGGGUGUACACAGAUUAUUUCUGGUGCAAUUUAAUCUGGAAGAUUAUAUAGCUGAGAAUAAGAGAUCAAAUAGAUAUCCUUGAGACACCAGAAUCUCAUGAGUCAGUUGCAAACAUCAGGCAUGUAGCCUGCACUUGAUACUGGAUAACUUGCUCAUGUUUUAUUCCUGAGUUUCCUUAAGCAAUGUCUGUUCGAAAAGCUUGAAGUUAGUAUUCGUUUAAACAGGGAAGCACUGGAACUAGCUGGCAUUCUGUAAAUGAAAUCAAUGUAACGGGAACUUUGAAUCGUUUUUUCCUUGAUUAUUUUGCUAGGUUGUCACUAUAAAUGGCCAAAUCCUAAAUCAACUCUUUCACCCUUCCCAAGGAGGUCAUCAACACUAGCAUUUUACAGUGUUUAAUGAAUUAUUUUCCAAACAUACAUUAAGUUUGCUGUAAACAAGGGUAUUUAUAAGAAUAUCAUGACUAUUUGACAUUUAGGUAAGAGUUAUGUAGUACUCUAGAAAAAAGAGAAAGCAAUUUUAGUACUAUCAGAAUCUGGAGCAGAACUUAGUCUUGGGUGGAGCUUACAUAUGAAAUUGAAAUUUAAAAAGAAAUCCAAGUUACUCUCCAAGUUUUGGACAGGGUAUUUUUAUUCUUCAGAAUAUCGAUCCUGAAAUUAGAGUGAAUACAUCAAAAGUGCGUGUUUAAUUUCUUCAGUGGAAACAUAAACUCAUCCCUUGGGGAAAAAUAUUACUAAUUGUACAUUGAAUAGUUUUUGCCCAUAAAUAGCAACAUGUAUAAAUGCAAAUGCAUGAAGUCAAAAUUAAUUUUAAAUACUUCCUCAGUAAAUGUAUAGGUCUUUAUUAAUAAUCUAAAAGAAGGAAAAAAGGCAUUACUGAGAAAAUCUCCAAUUUUUUUUAAAGUUUAUUAAUUGUGAGCAUUGAGUUACUUUCUUGUAUGACGUGAUUGACCCAUAUGUGAAUUUUUUCUAAGAAUAAGGAAAUGGGUGAAUCAAAAUUGGGACUAGAAGGUUGGAUGAUUUAAAUGCUAUGCUUAUUUAAAUGUUCUAUUCUCUCAAAAUAGUACAUCUUUGGGCUUGCUUGCACAAUAGUGAAACAACCUACUUGAGGUAACUCACAAUAAUCCCAAUACUUUGGGAGGCCGAGGUGAGAAGAUGACUGGAUCCCAGGAGUUUGAGACCAGCCUGGGCAAUAUAGCAAGACCCCAUUUCUCCCCCCACCCCCCCCAAAAAAUCAUUGGACUAAGGUGGAAGGAGACAGAGCAGCUGUAAAGUUGCUAGUAUGAGGGACAAGAAUUAAUGUAAUGGUGGGCAGCAGGUGAUAAUUCUGUGGCAAAGCAACAAAAGCAGGGAUUACAAUUUAUUUCUGUUUAUAACCAUCAACGCCUAGUUUGGCUUUCAUUGUUUGCUGAUUUUGUUGCCUGGGCAGCAUGAAUCUCUCUGAUUCCCUUUUAGUGGUUCUUCAUGAAGCCUACAUGUGAGAAAUGAAAACUGAAAAUACAUUUUUUAAAAGGGAAAAUAAAACUGGUAUAAAAUCAAAUUACUCUGGCUCAUGUAUAAUAAAAUACAAUUACAUUAAUCCUUUUCUAAGUAUUUCAUUCUAGGGUUUGUGGAUUUUUUUUUGUAAUUAAUGAAUUUACUAAGCACUUUCUAUACUUAAGGGAAUGACUUUGUCUCUAUUUUUUAGGCAAAUUAUUUUGUGUGGGUGACAAAAUGUAUGUUCCCUUGCAUGUAAUAUUUAAGUGUGUAUUAAAUGUCUAAUAUGACUCAGGUCACAAAAUUUCAGACACAACGACAACAUGAACUGUCAGCUCAGGAAAGUUUGUUUAUUUGUGUUUGAGAUGGAGUCUCACUCUGUCGCCCAGGGUGG